CCUACGGGAGGCAGCAGUGAGGAAUAUUGGACAAUGGGCGCAAGCCUGAUCCAGCCAUGCCGCGUGCAGGAAGAAGCAUCUAUGGUGUGUAAACUGCUUUUGUACAGGAAGAAACACUCCCUCGUGAGGGAGCUUGACGGUACUGUAAGAAUAAGGACCGGCUAACUCCGUGCCAGCAGCCGCGGUAAUACGGAGGGUCCGAGCGUUAUCCGGAAUCAUUGGGUUUAAAGGGUCCGUAGGCGGUUUAAUAAGUCAGUGGUGAAAUCUGGUCGCUCAACGAUCAAACGGCCAUUGAUACUGUUAGACUUGAAUUAUAAGGAAGUAACUAGAAUAUGUAGUGUAGCGGUGAAAUGCUUAGAUAUUACAUGGAAUACCAAUUGCGAAGGCAGGUUACUACUUAUGGAUUGACGCUGAUGGACGAAAGCGUGGGGAGCGAACAGGAUUAGAUACCCUGGUAGUCCACGCCGUAAACGAUAGGAUACUAGCUGUUCGGAGCAAUCUGAGUGGCUAAGCGAAAAGUGAUAAGUAUCCCACCUGGGGAGUACGUUCGCAAGAAUGAAACUUAAAGAGUAGUGACGNGNGAGAGCGACGACGACGACGACGGAGGAGGAGG
rnacentral:rRNA from 1 species